rnacentral:rRNA from 1 species
UACGUAGGUGACCAGCGUUGUCCGGAUUUACUGGGCGUAAAGAGCGCGCAGGCGGUCUUUCAAGUCGAGUGUGAAAGCCCCCGGCUCAACUGGGGAGGGUCAUUCGAUACUGAUCGACUUGAAGGCAGGAGAGGGAAGCGGAAUUCCCGGUGUAGUGGUGAAAUGCGUAGAUAUCGGGAGGAACACCAGUGGCGAAGGCGGCUUCCUGGCCUGUUCUUGACGCUGAGGCGCGAAAGCUAGGGGAGCAAACAGG